rnacentral:rRNA from 1 species
AGGGCACCACCAGGAGUGGAGCCUGCGGCUUAAUUUGACUCAACGCGGGGAAACUCACCCGGCCCGGACACCGUAAGGAUUGACAGAUUGAGAGCUCUUUCUUGAUUCGGUGGGUGGUGGUGCAUGGCCGUUCUUAGUUGGUGGAGCGAUUUGUCUGGUUAAUUCCGAUAACGAACGAGACUCUAGCCUACUAAAUAGAAGGCAAAUCAUUCGUUUGCUGUACUUCUUAGAGGGACUAGGGGCGUCUAGCCUCACGAGAUUGAGCAAUAACAGGUCUGUGAUGCCCUUAGAUGUCCGGGGCCGCACGCGCGCUACACUGAAGGGUUCAGCAAGUGUUCAGCCUGGCCUGAGAAGAUCGGGUAACCUAAUGAAACUCCUUCGUGAUUGGGAUAGGGACUUGUAAUUAUUUCCCUUGAACGAGGAAUUCCUAGUAAGUGCGGGUCAUCAUCUCGCGUUGAUUACGUCCCUGCCCUUUGUACACACCGCCCGUCGCUACUAUCGAGUGAUGAGUUAUCCAGA